AUGUUGGUGAGGAAUUUUGUGUUAAGAAAAAAAAAUCAUGUUGAAGUAGUUGCAAUGCUUGGUGUUUAUGGAUUCCUAGUUAUCGCGGUUGAAGUAUCUAUUUUAGAAUUGAAGACUCUGGAAUCAAUCAAAUGGUAUGCAGAUAUUGUACUUGCCUUUGCUAGCUAUGGUGUGUCAAGCUUCAUCUUUUACUCAUUUGCUCCCUUUGUUCUUAAGGUGGAUUGGUUGUACAAAUGA